UCGGGAAUUUUGGGCAAUGGGGGAAACCCUGACCCAGCAACGCCGCGUGAAGGAUGAAGUAUUUCGGUAUGUAAACUUCGAAAGAAUAGGAAGAAUAAAUGACGGUACUAUUUAUAAGGUCCGGCUAACUACGUGCCAGCAGCCGCGGUAAUACGUAGGGACCAAGCGUUGUUCGGAUUUACUGGGCGUAAAGGGCGCGUAGGCGGCAAUUCAAGUCAUCUGUGAAAUCUCCGGUCUUAACUCGGAACGGUCAGAUGAUACUGCUUUGCUAGAGUGCAGAAGGGGCAAUCGGAAUUCUUGGUGUAGCGGUGAAAUGCGUAGAUAUCAAGAGGAACACCUGAGGCGAAGGCGGGUUGCUGGGCUGAUACUGACGCUGAGGCGCGAAAGCUAGGGUAGCAAACGGGGAUUAGAUACCCAAGUAGUCCCUGAGCGGGCUGGCAAGGCGCAU
rnacentral:rRNA from 1 species